GACGAACGCUGGCGGCGUGCUUAACACAUGCAAGACGAACGGAAAGGCCCUGCUUUUGUGGGGUGCUCGAGUGGCGAACGGGUGAGUAACACGUGAGUAACCUGCCCUUGACUUUGGGAUAACUUCAGGAAACUGGGGCUAAUACCGGAUAGGAGCUCCUGCUGCAUGGUGGGGGUUGGAAAGUUUCGGCGGUUGGGGAUGGAUUCGCGGCUUAUCAGCUUGUUGGUGGGGUAGUGGCUUACCAAGGCUUUGACGGGUAGCCGGCCUGAGAGGGUGACCGGCCACAUUGGGACUGAGAUACGGCCCAGACUCCUACGGGAGGCAGCAGUGGGGAAUAUUGCACAAUGGGCGGAAGCCUGAUGCAGCAACGCCGCGUGCGGGAUGACGGCCUUCGGGUUGUAAACCGCUUUCGCCUGUGACGAAGCGUGAGUGACGGUAAUGGGUAAAGAAGCACCGGCUAACUACGUG
rnacentral:rRNA from 1 species